rnacentral:rRNA from 1 species
GGCCAGACUCCUACGGGAGGCAGCAGUGGGGAAUAUUGCACAAUGGGGGAAACCCUGAUGCAGCGACGCCGCGUGAGUGAAGAAGUAAUUCGUUAUGUAAAGCUCUAUCAGCAGGGAAGAAAAUGACGGUACCUGAGUAAGAAGCCCCGGCUAACUACGUGCCAGCAGCCGCGGUAAUACGUAGGGGGCAAGCGUUAUCCGGAUUUACUGGGUGUAAAGGGAGCGUAGACGGCAGUGCAAGUCUGGAGUGAAAACUCCGGGCUCAACCUGGAGACUGCACUUGAAACUGGGUGUCUUGAGGGCAGGAGAGGAAAGUGGAAUUCCUAGUGUAGCGGUGAAAUGCGUAGAUAUUAGGAGGAACACCAGUGGCGAAGGCGACUUUCUGGACUGUACCUGACGCUGAGGCGCGAAAGCGUGGGUAGCGAACGGGAUUAGAUACCCGUGUACU